AUGUUUCACCUAACAUUCCAUCCAAUAAAGACAAAUUCAAGUGGAUUAGUGAUCAACCUUCCAGUCACUUUUACAACAAGUAUAAACACUUUGAGAAUGAAUGAAUAUGUUUUUAGUGUUUCAUAAGUCAUUCAAAUCAUCAAAACAAAAGGUUAUGCAUACGUAUCGGACCACGCGAUUAAGCUCUUCAGUUUCAGGGACUGCUGCUCCACCACUUAAGGAAUCGCAGCGUUGAAAUUCUCGCCACUGUUGCUCUGGUCCAGGCUAUCCGAGAAGCCCAGAACCCACCAGGAAAUCUCGAUUGCAGCCACUGUGCCCCAGGAGGACAUUGAACUGGCAAUCAACAAAUGCUUCUGCACGCGUAGGAACCACAUUAGCAUCUCCGCAGCCGCAAUUUAUUUAGCCUGCCAGCUUGAAGACGAGAAAAACUCGGGCAGAGAUUUGUAAGGUGACUGGUCUUGCUAGAGUCCCUCUCCGAAAAGUCCACAAGCAUCUCUUGGAGAACUGGGAGGACUUGCUCCCAUCUAAUUACGCUCCUGCCGAGCAUUCCCUACCACUGUAGUCGCUUCAGCUCGUUCUUCGGCCUCUAAAGUUGAUUUUGUUGAUAUACCAAAUGUGGGCUUAGACAUGAACGUGUAAGGUUUUCUUUGGUGAGCAUGAUCAAACACUAAGUCAUGCAGUAACACAAGUAAUAUGAGCUAUAUAUUUUAAGACUUGAUGUAGGGUUGUAACCGGAUACCAACCAUUUGGAGGGAAAAAUAUAAGAAACUAAUUUGAAAUUAGAAUGAUGCGGU
rnacentral:sRNA from 1 species